AUUGAACGCUGGCGGCAUGCCUUACACAUGCAAGUCGAACGGUAACAGGUCUUCGGAUGCUGACGAGUGGCGAACGGGUGAGUAAUGCAUCGGAACGUGCCCAGUAGUGGGGGAUAGCCCGGCGAAAGCCGGAUUAAUACCGCAUACGACCUGAAGGUGAAAGGGGGGGAUCGCAAGACCUCUCGCUAUUGGAGCGGCCGAUGUCAGAGUAGCUAGUUGGGGGGGUAAAGGCCUACCAAGGCAACGAUCUGUAGUUGGUCUGAGAGGACGACCAGCCACACUGGGACUGAGACGAGGCCCAGACUCCUAGGGGAGGCAGCGGUGGGGAAUAUUGGACAAUGGGCGCAAGCCGGAUCCAGCAAUGCCGCGUGCAGGAAGAAGGCCUUCGGGUUGUAAACUGCUUUUGUCAGGGAAGAAAUCUUCUGGGUUAAUACCUCGGGAGGAUGACGGUACCUGAAGAAUAAGCACCGGCUAACUACGUGCCAGCAGCCGCAGUAAGAC
rnacentral:rRNA from 1 species